rnacentral:rRNA from 1 species
AGAGUUUGAUCCUGGCUCAGGAUGAACGCUGGCGGCAGGCUUAAUACAUGCAAGUCGAACGGUAAGGCCCGAAGUGGCAACACGGAGGGUACACGAGUGGCGCACGGGUGCGUAACGCGUAUGCAACCUGCCCCCGACCGGGACAAAACAGCUGGAAACGGCUGCUAAUAUCCCAUGGCCAUGAGAAGGGCAUCCUUCUUCAUGUAAAGAUUCAUUGGUCGGGGAUGGGCAUGCGUAUUAUUAGGUAGUUGGCGGGGUAACGGCCCACCAAGCCGACGAUGAUUAGGGGUCCUGAGAGGGUUAUCCCCCACACUGGAACUGAGACACGGUCCAGACUCCUACGGGAGGCAGCAGUAGGGAAUAUUGGGCAAUGGAAGGAAUUCUGACCCAGCCAUGCCGCGUGAAGGAAGACGGUCCUAUGGAUUGUAAACUUCUUUUGCCGCAGAGUAAACGACGCCACGUGUGGUGUUUUGAGAGUAUGCGGCGAAUAAGUAUCGGCUAACUCCGUGCC